GAUAGCCAAUAGGUGGUCGAAUGACAAAUACCAUGGGUAUAUGGUAAUUACAGUAGAUCGGAAUAAGAGCUGGAUACGGCACCAAAAAGGCUUAUAGAAGUGGCUUGAUUUAUCAGUUAAUUAAAAUUAAGAAAAGUUGUUUUAUGUAAUCGGGUUUAUCCCAUAUUAAAAGCUACCUUUAUGAAAUGUGGGUUUAUCCCCAUCUGUGUAAAUAAAUAAAAUCCGGUGUUUCUAAAACUCUAAUAUUUUUCCUAACUCACGGUCCUGAUGAAAUUUCCGCUGCAAUGUUUUUAAAAUAACCACCGGUACCACUUGGCUGCUCACGGCUCCCGAUUCCGUCCAGGGUGGGGUCGGGGGUCGUGACAACCAUUAAUCUAGUUUGGACCUAGGUACAGAGGGUUAGAUCCAAUGUGUUUUGGCAAGCCCCACUCUUGGUCGUAGACCCAUACAGAAGAGUGCGUUUGUGUCCCAGUCGAUGGUAGUCGACACGAAAUCGUCUAGGUUUGGAUUGCUUCCUAUUUCAUCACACAUAUUAAUGUCCUUGCAAAACAUUAAUGAUCAACGAUUUCAUUUGAUGCUUUACAUACU
rnacentral:lncRNA from 1 species